rnacentral:misc_RNA from 1 species
UUCAGGAAAUGGGCCAAGCCA